rnacentral:rRNA from 1 species
AGAGUUUGAUUCUGGCUCAGAAUGAACGCUGGCGGCAUGCCUAACACAUGCAAGUCGAACGAAGGCUUCGGCCUUAGUGGCGCACGGGUGCGUAACGCGUGGGAAUCUGCCCUUGGUUCGGAAUAACAGUUAGAAAUGACUGCUAAUACCGGAUGAUGACGUAAGUCCAAAGAUUUAUCGCCGAGGGAUGAGCCCGCGUAGGACUAGCUAGUUGGUGUGGUAAGAGCGCACCAAGGCGACGAUCCUUAGCUGGUCUGAGAGGAUGAUCAGCCACACUGGGACUGAGACACGGCCCAGACUCCUACGGGAGGCAGCAGUGGGGAAUAUUGGACAAUGGGCGAAAGCCUGAUCCCAGCAAUGCCGCGUGAGUGAUGAAGGCCUUAGGGUUGUAAAGCUCUUUUACCCGGGAUGAUAAUGACAGUACCGGGAGAAUAAGCUCCGGCUAACUCCGUGCCAGCCGCCGC